rnacentral:rRNA from 1 species
AGUCGAACGGACCUUUCGGGGUUAGUGGCGGACGGGUGAGUAACACGUGGGAACGUGCCUUUAGGUUCGGAAUAGCUCCUGGAAACGGGUGGUAAUGCCGAAUGUGCCCUUCGGGGGAAAGAUUUAUCGCCUUUAGAGCGGCCCGCGUCUGAUUAGCUAGUUGGUUGAGGUAACGGCUCACCAAGGCGACGAUCAGUAGCUGGUCUGAGAGGAUGGCCAGCCACAUUGGGACUGAGACACGGCCCAA